AUGAGAGCGCCACACUAACCAGAACAACAGCCAAAGACACCAACACAAUCGAAGGAGCCGCUACUCCAUGUAACGCUCCAUUAUUUGACGGGGCCGUCGACUCCUGGGACCCUGGUGGCGGAGAAGCAGUUCCCGGCGAUGUGGGGCCCGCAGGCUGGCCGGAUGGAGCAGGUGUAGCACCCGCAGGUUGGCCGGAUGGAGCAUGUGUAGGUGCGAGCCCCUCCGGAGGCGGUGCGGGUGGAGAAGUAACAGUUCCCGACUGUGUGGGGCCCGCAGGCCCGCCAGAUGGAGCAAGUAUGGGCCCCCCAGGCACGCCAGAAGGAGUAGGUGCGAGCCCCUCCGGAGGCGGUGCGGGUGGAGAAGUAGUUGGAGUAUAGCCUGACGCCGGAGAUGGCACCAUAGAAGUUGACGGCGACGGCGACGGUUGUGAUGACCCUGGCCCUGGUGAAGCAGAUGGAGGAGUUGUAAUCACUGGUGAUGGAGAUGGAGAGACCGGGCCCCCAGCUGGGGGUAGCCCGGGCCCUUGUGGUGGGGACGCCGCAGGAGGGUGGUAGGGCUUCUGAGGAGCGGUAGGGCUAGUAGGAGUGGUAGGGCCAGGGCCAGGAGCGGUAGGGCUAGUAGGAGGAGGAGGGAGGACUGGUGGCUUGGGCUGCCUCGGGGCCAAGACAAUAACAAGAAGCUUCUGACCCUUUUGACAAUUACCAUUUUGGCCACUGAUAAAGUAGAAAGGCCCAGACCUAUCGACGGUGAAGUCGGAGUCGCCACCGUCGAGUUUCUGAAUAGGGUUUUGGGUGUUGCAGCUGAAGUAGUCGUCUUUGUUCACGACGAGCACCGAGUCUGACCCUUUCUUGUAUUUGAAAUCUGUUAUAUGUGUACACGUGGUAUGCCGAAACAAAAGUUAGGAACAAUACCGACCUCAAAUAUAGGUGGAUAAAAAAGAGGAAAAUAAAAACUGCAAUUUAGGAUCUGUUGGAUAAUAUAUUCUUCUCUUUUAUUUAAAUCUUUUUGUUUGUUUGUGAAUAAUCCAUUUAUUUAAUUUAAUCAGCUAACUCGAAAAAAUUGAUGUAUAACCGAAGAUUUUUCAUGUUUUAUGUGUUGCCGUUGUGAAACCAAAGUAAUUAGAUUUUUUAAUGUGAUCGUCACACGAAAUGGUACAUUAUGUAUCGUUAUAUAAAUGAUGAAAUAUGUAUAUUAAAAAUUUAAUAACUUAAAAAAUAAAAUUUCAAACAUGAUAACACAUGAUGUAUCACUCGCCUACUCGUCACAACUAAAACUUGCUCGUUCUUUAAGAUAUAGAUGAUUAGAAACGCGAAAUAACUUUUGUACAAUUCUAUUCCAUUGUUGGGAUUCUCAAUCUAGAUGACGAAAAUAAACAGUGUUAUGUAUAAGAAAAAUGCGUGUGGAAAUUAUUUUUCUUAAAACAAAAACAUCAGCAAUGAUCCAAACUAAAAGAUACACAAAUUACAAGUGAAAAUAUUUAGAGAGAGAGAGAGAGAGAGAGAGAGAGAGAGAGAGAGAGAUCUUACGUAGAGUGUCAUUGAUAUUGAACCUGUUUUUCUCAGCCCAGAGGCUGUAGCUCUGAGAAGGGUUCACAACCCACCCAUCUUUCCCACCAACAUA
rnacentral:lncRNA from 1 species